GCUUUUCCCUUUCUCUCUUCUUUUCCUUUCCUUCCUUUGUUUUUUUUUUCUUAUCUUUUCUUCGCCAUCAUCUCUUCCUUCUACGCUAGAGACUGUGACGUUGGCGUAACCUGAAAUCGCUAGUUGGGCUGACGACGUCACAACCUUCAGCCACGAGUUGGGCUCGUUGCGAUGGCACCAACCCAAGUCGUAACUGGACGUAGCUUCACAGCGAACCAAAUUGUGGCUGGAGGCAACGUCACAGACACUCAUCUCGGCUACAACAUUGACGCCGACACAACAACCACCUUUCUUUUCCCGCACUCAUAUUUUCUUUUAGAUCUUAUAGUUUAUGGGUUUGUGAUUUUUGGAUUUAUUUUUCGUGAAUUUUCAGUGGCAGGAGGAUUUGAGGAUUCUUUUCUUGAAACAGUAGACGCAAAGCCAGGCAAGCUCGUAUCUUGGCCUUAGUCGCGUGGCUUUGUCGGCGCAAUGCCAUGCAGAAUCUUGUCCUGAGCCACCCAACUUCUCUCUUCUACAACGCCUCUUCUUCGUUCUACAGUCCAUCCCCGAGAUCUUUGAACUAUGACAAGUCUUUAUAUUUUGUAUGAAAUUUGAAGGACUCAAAAUAAAAUAAUGCAUCAAAUCCAUGGCUUGGCCAGCAUUAUUUUUCUCCUCUACAUGUCAUGGGUCGUCGUGGAGACAAGAACAGUUUUAUUUUUCUUUUUCAUAGGUUUUAGUAAUGGGUUUUAUGGGUUUGAUUUUUGAUUUUUUUUUUUUUCUCUUGUGCUUAUUAUGACUAUGAUUGUUUAGUUGAGAUGUAAUAUGAAUUUGAUUAUGGAGUUGAGAUGGAGGAUGAAUUUUGAAUGGGUGUUAAGAUGGGGGAUGAAUUCUGAUUGUGUUUGAAUUAAUGGAGGUGAUUUUUCAGACGAAUCUGGAUAAAUUGGGUUAGAGUUUGAAUUAAUGGGAGUUGAUAGUUUCUGCAAAUCUUGGUUGAACGAGAGAUUGAGUAGUCAUUCUCUCAAAUAGUUCAUGUGCAUCCCCUUAAGCAUCUGUAAAAGAGCUGCAAUUCCGAUUUUACCAAUCUUUUUUGUAAGAUUUUU